GAAGGGGGCUAGCGUUGCUCGGAAUUACUGGGCGUAAAGGGCGCGUAGGCGGAUCGUUAAGUCAGAGGUGAAAUCCCAGGGCUCAACCCUGGAACUGCCUUUGAUACUGGCGAUCUUGAGUAUGAGAGAGGUAUGUGGAACUCCGAGUGUAGAGGUGAAAUUCGUAGAUAUUCGGAAGAACACCAGUGGCGAAGGCGACAUACUGGCUCAUUACUGACGCUGAGGCGCGAAAGCGUGGGGAGCAAACAGGAUUAGAUACCCUGGUAGUCCACGCCGUAAACGAUGAUUGCUAGUUGUCGGGCUGCAUGCAGUUCGGUGACGCAGCUAACGCAUUAAGCAAUCCGCCUGGGGAGU
rnacentral:rRNA from 1 species